GGGGGGGGCAAGGCAGGUGGAGUCCCACGGACCCUGGGCGGGGAAGCCCGGGUCUUGGCCUGGGUCUCACGCUGCCCUGGCCGCAGACAGCUGUGCCUCUGAGCAAGUGAAGUCCCUGCCCCCCCAGCCCAGCUCCUCUCAAGAUGAGGGCACGGGGGACAGGAAUCGGGAGAGGCCCGAGGCCCCCGGGGUGGUUCUCGUUGAAUGACAGACAGCUACGCGACAUCGGCAUUUAUCGCCGGGGAGGCCCGGGCUCCAGGAGGGUCUCGGGCUCCCGGGCCUUCCUGCUCGCACCGCCUGCCGCUGUGACUGACACGUGUCCCCACUCGUGACCGGGCAGGUUGAGACCCCCCUGGGGAUUGCCUGCUGCCGCCAGCUGGCCGGCAGGGCCUGGAGCCGCGGACUGCCCACCGUGGGGAUUACUGACCUGGCGGAUUAGCCACAGGGCCCUGCACCUGCUGCCCCACUGAGCCACGCUGGAGGGCUUGGGGUCCAGCCCAGGGCGCCCUGAGUGCUUGAGCCAGAGUGAGCGAAGGCCUUUUGGGGACCUAGCCUGUGACUUCGGUUGGAAAAAGGAACCCCCGGUGUCUUGUCACAACUGCUUUCUGUGUCGUACGUGUGCCACGCGCACGUUUCUUGGCCUUUGUUCCGGAUGGGUGGGGUUGCCGCUGAGGGUUUAAGGAGCGGGGUGCUGUUUGGGCAUUUGUGUACGAAGGACGCGCUGGGGUGCGCUUGGGCCAGACCGCUUUUCAUCGCUCACCCCUUUUGCCACGUUUAAUAACGCACGUCUCGGAACUCUCUCUGUUUGAUGGGAACCACGGAGCUGCGUCUUUCCCGUAUUCGAUUGGGCUACCAGUCUUUUUCUUAUUGAUUUGUGGCAGCUCUUUAUAUAUCGUGAAAGUUUUUUGGUGUUUUUUUUUAAAUUCGUGACACAGGCGUAAGUAGCCCUUCCCCGUUUUCUCUCGUGAUGAUCGUUGACCUCGGGCAGGUAUCUUUGUAUUUAUGUGGUCAAGUUUAUCCAUCUCUCCUUGACGGUUUCUCAGUUUGACGUCACGGGUGGAAAUGUGCUCUCCGUCCUGAGGUUCUAAUUCUUCUAGUACUAAGGUGGUUUCGCCUUUUCCUAAGCAUUUAAAGUCCUGCUCCAUUUGGGAUGUACCCCCGCGUACAGCGUAUGAGGAUUUCAUUGUUCCACGGUUUUCCAGGGGGCUCAGGGUUGCCCCAACGGUUUCUGGAAAACCUGCUUCCCUCACCGAUUUGAGAUGCCCCCUUUAUUACAUCCCAGAUUCCUGCAUGCGGCUGGUCUAUUUCUGGACUUUCUAUUCUGUCCCGCUCAUCUGCCUGACUUCUUGCAGCAGGCGAGCCUGUAACUACGAGUAAUAACACGUUUCCUUUAAAAAGCAGCAGCCUGCCCUGUGGUCAGGAGACAGGGAGGACUUGUGUCUUGCCCUCUCUGUUUCUAGGAGGAGGUAACCAACCGUCAGUCAUUCCAGGUGGUUUUCUACCUUUAAUUUUUUUUUUUUUUAACGUCGUAUUUUGAAAACGUUCAAGGCUGCAGAAAAAGUUGCGAGAUACUGCGGCAAACACCCCGAGGCUCUUAGCUGAGAUUCGCCAGCUGCCGACACGUCUCUCUGAAUGGGUGUUAUCGCCUGUGUGCGAUUUUGCGGGUCCUUUGAGAGUCAGUUGGAAGCCCCUUCGUCCUUAAGUACAGAGAUCACAUCCGUGUGCAACCUCACGCCGUGUGUGCUUCUGCAUAAAGACCCUUGUCAGAUACAUACUGUUGCGUCGUUAGCAGCGACCUCGUGACGAGCAGCGCCAACUCCUGCCGGGUGGAAGCGUGUCUAACACACUUUCUAAGGCGCGUCGCCGUCCUCUGGGCUCAGGAACGCCCGACCACCGCAGCUCUGAGCCUGGGGGCCGUUGUGAACGGUGAAAACCACCAACAAACGGCACAAAACGUAAAACCCGCCUCUCGGUAGCCCACAGAAAGGGCCCCCGUCUACAGCACAAGGGGGGAGACAGGAAGCAGGCUACGCUCGGCUGGACGCGUGCACGGGAGGUGACAGUUUUCGGUGCCCCGCGUGCGUCUCCAGGUGACCGGGAAGGGCUCCCGAGUGAGUACCGAUCGGGGGCUGCGGUAGCCGGGGGUGGGUCUGCAGAUGCGCAGUCGGCAUGGUGAGCAGCUCUGUACCCUGCGGACAGACGCCCCCUCCGCCAAGUGCAGAGAUCAGGUUCCGGAAGUGUAACAUCCGUGCAGAGUCCACAGUCAGGACCCACGUUGUGCCGGUGCGUCCAGAGUUGUCCCGGAUGGCGAUCUUUGAUCCCUCGCUAGGACCCGGGAUCUCACUUGGAGACCUGGGAGCAGCUGGUCUCCCGGGCCCGACCCCAGCUCCGGAACCUUCUGCCUGAGCAGCUGUGAGUGAGCCUCGCCCCCGCUCUCGGCUCCCUCGGGAAGCCCACCUGGUCCCCUCAGGCCUCCGGCCUGGACUUUGGUGGGAGGCCCGUGCCUGGCAGGGCCGUGUGCGCAGCCGUGUUUGUGGCAAGAGUGGUGAAAGUUCUGGAACGUUCUUUCUCUUUCUUUUGAGAGCCGGAGCUUUGGAAAGCCGUCCGCCGGCCUAAGGCCUGCCGAGUUCUGGAUUCAUGGCCACCCUCCCCCCAUCCUUUGCGAGGCUUCCUGUUUACCACUCCGGGAACGUUCGCUUUGUGCAGUGAGAUCGAGAUCGGCCGGGGAUGCAGGAGGGGGCAGAACGCGUGGGAGUGGGUCUCAGCCUGGGGGAGGAGGGGUCGGCCGGUGGUCCGGGCUCUGCCCCCCGCCCCGAGACCGCCCCCCCCCCCCCGCCUCCAUUCUCAGCUCCCCCAGGCGCACCUUCCCCUCCAGCCACCCCAGACCCUGGCUCUCUGCUCCCUCAAAGCAUCCUGUCCUGUUCCCACAGGGCCUUGGCAUGUGCUCUCUCCGCCUUAGGAUGCCCUCACCCUUGGUUUCCCUCGCUGGGUCCUGUGUUCGGGGUCCGUCCGUGGGGCAGCGCGUGCCGGCGACUCGCUCCCGUUCGGGGCCGAGUGACCUUCCGUGAAAUGGAUGGCGAUCAUCUGUUGACGGACAUCUGGGUUGUUCCCGCUUUUGGUUACGGGCAGUGUCCAUAACGUAUGGAUGACGGCCGCACUCUCCAGUCCCACCAGCCGUGUGUGAGGGUUCUCUGACUUCUCCACGUCCUGGACAUUACUUGUCACCGUGUGUCUGCUUGAUUCUACCCGUCCUCGUGGGCGUGAAGUGGUGUCUUGCUGGGGUUUUGAUUUGUGUUUCCUGAUGAUCAGUGACGCGGAGCAUGUGUUCCUGGGCUUGCUGGCCAUCUGUACGUCCUCCUGCGGAGAAGUGCGUGUUGAGAUCCUUUGCUCAUUUUUCAUUUGGGUUCAUUUUAUUGUUGAAUUGUAAGCGCUCUUUAUAUAUGCUAGAUACAGUUCCCUCAUCAGACCUGUGAUUGGCAGAUACCUUCUCCGCUUUCUUGGUGGUGGCCUUUGAAGUGCAAACGUUAUUUUUAAGUUUAUUUUUUUAGUGAUCUCUGUGCCCCACACGGGGCUCGAGCUCACAACCCCGAGAUCCAGAGUCGCACACUGUGCUGACUUGAGCUGGCCGGGCGCCCUGCAGAGCAGACGUUUUCAUUUUGAGGAAGUCCAGCUCAUGUUUCCUUUGGUGGCUUGGACUAGAGCGGUCAUGUCCAAGAAACCACGGCCUGACUCAACGCAAUGAUUUACUUUUCUUCCCAGAGCUUUAUGGUUCCAUCCGCUCCGUGGGCUUAGAUUUCUGCUGCGUCUCGUGUUCCGAGUGCAUACGGUGUGAGGUAGGGCCCGACGUCGCUCCUCGUGCGUGGAAACCCGGUUGUCCCAGAGCCGCCGGUCGACACGGAGUCGUCUGGGUGCUGGAAUGUGCAUUUUUGGUCCUGGAUUCCCACCGAUGUAUCCUGGACCAUUCCAGGGCGUCCAGACGGGCGUCCCCAUCUGUGUGUGCCCGGACCACAUUGCCUUGAUCACCGAGGCUUUGCAGCCCGUUUUGAAACGGGGAAACGUGAAUCUUCCAACUCUGUUCU